AGUGAACGCUGGGGGUAGGCCUAACACAUGCAAGUCGAACGGCAGCACAGGAGAGCUUGCUCUCUGGGUGGCGAGUGGCGGACGGGUGAGGAAUACAUCGGAAUCUACUUUUUCGUGGGGGAUAACGUAGGGAAACUUACGCUAAUACCGCAUACGCCCUACGGGUGAAAGCAGGGGAUCUUCGGACCUUGCGCGAUUGAAUGAGCCGAUGUCGGAUUAGCUAGUUGGCGGGGUAAAGGCCCACCAAGGCGACGAUCCGUAGCUGGUCUGAGAGGAUGAUCAGCCACACUGGAACUGAGACACGGUCCAGACUCCUACGGGAGGCAGCAGUGGGGAAUAUUGGACAAUGGGCGCAAGCCUGAUCCAGCCAUACCGCGUGGGUGAAGAAGGCCUUCGGGUUGUAAAGCCCUUUUGUUGGGAAAGAAAUCCAGCUGGUUAAUACCCGGUUGGGAUGACGGUACCCAAAGAAUAAGCACCGGCUAACUUCGUGCCAGCAGCCGCGGUAA
rnacentral:rRNA from 1 species